rnacentral:rRNA from 1 species
AUUGAACGCUGGCGGCAGGCCUAACACAUGCAAGUCGAGCGAGCGGCGGACGGGUGAGUAUUGUAUGGGGACUGCCCGAUAGAGGGGGAUAACUACUGGAAACGGUGGCUAAUACCGCAUACUGUCUGAUAACCCCUAUGGGAUUAGCUGGUAGGUAAGGUAAUGGCUUACCUCGGCGACGCUCCCUAGCUGGUCUGAGAGGAUGAUCAGCCACACUGGGACUGAGACACGGCCCAGACUCCUACGGAGGCAGCAGUGGGGAAUAUUGCACAAUGGGCGCAAGCCUGAUGCAGCCAUGCCGCGUGUAUGAAGAAGGCCCUAGGGUUGUAAAGUACUUUCAGUCGGGAGGCGUUACCGACAGAAGAAGCACCGGCUAACUCCGUGCCAGCAGCCGCGGUAAUAC